rnacentral:tRNA from 2 species
GCGGGUGUAGUUCAAUGGCAGAACAUCAGCCUUCCAAGCUGAUUGUGAGGGUUCGAUUCCCUUCACCCGCUCCA